UACGGAGGGGCUAGCGUUGUUCGGAAUUACUGGGCGUAAAGCGCACGUAGGCGGCUUUGUAAGUUAGAGGUGAAAGCCCGGGGCUCAACUCCGGAAUUGCCUUUAAGACUGCAUCGCUAGAAUUGUGGAGAGGUAAGUGGAAUUCCGAGUGUAGAGGUGAAAUUCGUAGAUAUUCGGAAGAACACCAGUGGCGAAGGCGACUUACUGGACACAUAUUGACGCUGAGGUGCGAAAGCGUGGGGAGCAAACAGG
rnacentral:rRNA from 1 species